rnacentral:rRNA from 1 species
UACGUAGGGGGCGAGCGUUGUCCGGAUUUAUUGGGCGUAAAGAGCGUGUAGGCGGUUCGGUAAGUCUGUCGUGAAAUCCUGAGGCUCAACCUUGGACGUGCGAUGGAUACUGCCGGGCUAGAGGAUGGUAGAGGCGAGUGGAAUUCCCGGUGUAGCGGUGAAAUGCGCAGAUAUCAGGAGGAACACCGGUGGCGAAGGCGGGGUCUCUGGGCCGAUACUGACGUGAGGAGCGAAAGCGUGGGGAGCGAACAGG